UCCUGGCUCAGGAUGAACGCUGGCGGCGUGCCUAAUACAUGCAAGUCGAACGCUUUGUGGUUCAACUGAUUUGAAGAGCUUGCUCAGAUAUGACGAUGGACAUUGCAAAGAGUGGCGAACGGGUGAGUAACACGUGGGAAACCUACCUCUUAGCAGGGGAUAACAUUUGGAAACAGAUGCUAAUACCGUAUAACAAUGACAACCGCAUGGUUGUUAUUUAAAAGAUGGUUCUGCUAUCACUAAGAGAUGGUCCCGCGGUGCAUUAGCUAGUUGGUAAGGUAAUGGCUUACCAAGGCGAUGAUGCAUAGCCGAGUUGAGAGACUGAUCGGCCACAAUGGGACUGAGACACGGCCCAUACUCCUACGGGAGGCAGCAGUAGGGAAUCUUCCACAAUGGGCGAAAGCCUGAUGGAGCAACGCCGCGUGUGUGAUGAAGGGUUUCGGCUCGUAAAACACUGUUGUAAGAGAAGAAUGACAUUGAGAGUAACUGUUCAAUGUGUGACGGUAUCUUACCAGAAAGGAACGGCUAAAUACGUGCCAGCAGCCGCGGUAAUACGUAUGUUCCAAGCGUUAUCCGGAUUUAUUGGGCGUAAAGCGAGCGCAGACGGUUAUUUAAGUCUGAAGUGAAAGCCCUCAGCUCAACUGAGGAAUUGCUUUGGAAACUGGAUGACUUGAGUGCAGUAGAGGAAAGUGGAACUCCAUGUGUAGCGGUGAAAUGCGUAGAUAUAUGGAAGAACACCAGUGGCGAAGGCGGCUUUCUGGACUGUAACUGACGUUGAGGCUCGAAAGUGUGGGUAGCAAACAGGAUUAGAUACCCUGGUAGUCCACACC
rnacentral:rRNA from 1 species